AAAUUGAAGAGUUUGAUCAUGGCUCAGAUUGAACGCUGGCGGCAGGCCUAACACAUGCAAGUCGAACGGUAACAGGAAACAGCUUGCUGUUUCGCUGACGAGUGGCGGACGGGUGAGUAAUGUCUGGGAAACUGCCUGAUGGAGGGGGAUAACUACUGGAAACGGUAGCUAAUACCGCAUAACGUCGCAAGACCAAAGAGGGGGACCCUCGGGCCUCUUGCCAUCGG
rnacentral:rRNA from 1 species